rnacentral:rRNA from 1 species
UACGUAGGGGGCAAGCGUUGUCCGGAAUCAUUGGGCGUAAAGAGCGUGUAGGCGGCCCGGUAAGUCCGCUGUAAAAGUCCAGGGCUCAACCCUGGAAAGCCGGUGGAAACUGUCGAGCUAGAGUCCGGAAGAGGCGAGUGGAAUUCCUGGUGUAGCGGUGAAAUGCGCAGAUAUCAGGAGGAACACCAAUGGCGAAGGCAGCUCGCUGGGACGGUACUGACGCUGAGACGCGAAAGCGUGGGGAGCAAACAGG